rnacentral:rRNA from 1 species
UACGGAGGGUGCAAGCGUUAAUCGGAAUUACUGGGCGUAAAGGGUGCGUAGGUGGUUUUAUAAGUUAUCUGUGAAAUUCCUGAGCUUAACUUAGGGUGGUCAGAUAAGACUGUAGGACUGGAGUAUGGGAGAGGGUAGUGGAAUUUCCGGUGUAGCGGUGAAAUGCGUAGAGAUCGGAAGGAACAUCGGUGGCGAAGGCGGCUACCUGGCCUAAUACUGACACUGAGGCACGAAAGCGUGGGGAGCAAACAGG